AUUCCCUUUAUAUAUUUAAAUGUUUCUAUCAUAUCCCCCCUGUCUCGUCUUUCCUCCAAGCUAUACAUGUUAAGAUCCUUUAACCUUUCCUGGUAAGUUUUAUCCUGCAAUCCAUGAACCAGUUUAGUAGCCCUUCUCUGAACCCUCUCUAAGGUAUCAAUAUCCUUCUGAAGAUACGGUCUCCAGUACUGUGUACAAUACUCCAAGUGAGGUCUCACCAGUGUUCUGUAUAAUGGCAUGAGCACUUCCCUCUUUCUACUGCUAAUACCACUCCCUAAACAACCAAGCAUUCUGCUGGCAUUUCCUGCUGCUCUAUUACAUUGUCUGCCUACCUUUAAGUCAUCCAAAAUCACCCCUAAAUCCCUUUCCUCAGAUGUUGAGGUUAGGACUCUUAUCAAAUAUUCUGUACUCUGC